rnacentral:rRNA from 1 species
GAUGAACGCUGGCGGCGUGCUUAACACAUGCAAGUCGAACGAUGAAGCCCAGCUUGCUGGGUGGAUUAGUGGCGAACGGGUGAGUAACACGUGAGUAACCUGCCCUUAACUCUGGGAUAAGCCUGGGAAACUGGGUCUAAUACCGGAUAGGAGCGUCCACCGCAUGGUGGGUGUUGGAAAGAUUUAUCGGUUUUGGAUGGACUCGCGGCCUAUCAGCUUGUUGGUGAGGUAAUGGCUCACCAAGGCGACGACGGGUAGCCGGCCUGAGAGGGUGACCGGCAAACUGGGGAGGGGACACGGCCCAGGCCCCCUCGGGGAGGAAGAAUGGGGAAAAUUGCAACAAGGGGGCAAAGCCGAUGGAGCGACCCCGGCGGGAGGAUGACGGCCUUUGGGUUGUAAACCCCUUUCAGUAGGGAAGAAGCGAAAGUGACGGGACCGGCAGAAGAAGCACCGGCGAACUACGU